rnacentral:rRNA from 1 species
GACGAACGCUGGCGGCGUGCUUAACACAUGCAAGUCGAGCGGUAAGGCCCUUUCGGGGGUACGACGAGCGGCGAACGGGUGAGUAACACGUGGGUGACCUGCCCUCAGCUCUGGGAUAAGCCCGGGAAACUGGGUCUAAUACCGGAUAUGACUUCAUGACGCAUGUUGUGGAGUGGAAAGCCUUGUGCGGCUGAGGAUGGGCCCGCGGCCUAUCAGCUUGUUGGGUGGGGUGANGGGCCUACCAAGGCGACGACGGGUAGCCGGCCUGAGAGGGCGACCGGCCACACUGGGACUGAGAUACGGCCCAGACUCCUACGGGAGGCAGCAGUGGGGAAUCUUGCGCAAUGGGCGAAAGCCUGACGCAGCGACG